rnacentral:rRNA from 1 species
UACGAAGGGGCUAGCGUUGCUCGGAAUCACUGGGCGUAAAGCGCACGGUAGGCGGAUUGUUAAGUCAGGGGUGAAAUCCUGGAGCUCAACUCCAGAACUGCCUUGAUACUGGAGAGCUUGAGUCCGGGAGAGGUGAGUGGAACUCCGAGUGGUAGAGGUGAAAUUCGUAGAUAUUCGGAAGAACACCAGUGGCGAAGGCGGCUCACUGGCCCGGUACGUGGACGCU